rnacentral:rRNA from 1 species
UGGGGAAUUUUGGACAAUGGGCGAAAGCCUGAUCCAGCAAUGCCGCGUGUGUGAAGAAGGCCUUCGGGUUGUAAAGCACUUUUGUCCGGAAAGAAAUCCUUGGCUCUAAUACAGUCGGGGGAUGACGGUACCGGAAGAAUAAGCACCGGCUAACUACGUGCCAGCAGCCGCGGUAAUACGUAGGGUGUAAGCGUUAAUCGGAAUUACUGGGCGUAAAGCGUGCGCAGGCGGUUUGCUAAGACCGAUGUGAAAUCCCCGGGCUCAACCUGGGAACUGCAUUGGUGGCUGGCAGGCUAGAGUAUGGCAGAGGGGGGUAGAAUUCCACGUGUAGCAGUGAAAUGCGUAGAGAUGUGGAGGGAAUACCGAUGGCGAAGGCAGCCCCCUGGGCUAAUACUGACGCUCAUGCACGAAAGCGUGGGGAGCAAACAGGAUUAGAUACCCUGGUAGUCCACGCCCUAAACGAUGUCAACUAGUUGUUGGGGAUUCAUUUCCUUAGUAACGUAGCUAACGCGUGAAGUUGACCGCCUGGGGAGUACGGUCGCAAGAUUAAAACUCAAAUGAAUUGACGGGGUCAUAGCUGUUUCCUG